AGCAAUCUGGCGCAGCGGGAGCGCGCCGGGCUCAUAACCCGGAGGUCCCUGGAUCGAAACCAGGGAUUGCUA
rnacentral:tRNA from 1 species